AGGGGUGUAGCUCAACUGGUAGAGUAGCGGUCUCCAAAACCGUUGGUUGCGGGUUCGAUUCCUGCCGCCCCUG
rnacentral:tRNA from 1 species